GUGAGUAGGCAUACUGUAUAGUCAAAGUUGGUUAGCCAAGGCCUCAGAAGUGGGAAAAGUACCUAAAAUAUUGGUUUAUUAAUACUUGGUUGACAAAACCUUUUUUUGUGCUAUGGAGAAUGCAUUAUCUGGAGAAAAAAAAAGUCAAAAUCUACACAGACUGAAUCAAAACAAAUCUCUCUUAGGCACUGAUCUCAGAGAGGUUUGAAAUAUAAUUCAGCCUCUGCUUACGUUGUAAACAUGUAGCUCCUCUAAUUAUUGUACUUGAAACGUAAUAUGUCUGACAUUGUGAGGAAUUUAGACUGUAUUUGCCACAAAUGGUUGUUGUUUAAAGGCUUAGGUUCCCUUAUAUUGGUGGUGUGGUAUGUUGAUGAACUGACAGUAAACCUUACUGUCUAGAAAGUACAUUCAUUAGAUCGAGUAAGAGUUAUGAAGUAUUUACAUUUACAUAUGGCAAAUAAACUUAAAACUAGAUAGUUUGCAGUCUAGUUGGUGCAUUUCUGUCAUAUCGAAUGAAACAGCUGAUUAGAAAUAACUUACAACUCUGUACAAUUUCAGAGAGUAACACAUACCAGCGCAAUAGGCAAUUGUUUAACUCCAUGUUCUAUCAUUAAUCUGGAGAGGCGGUAUUCUGAACUGCUUUGAAGCUGAGGUGUUGUAGGGUGUUUGGGGUUGUGUGUUGUGAGCUGUGUAUAGUGUUUGGGGCUGUGUAGUUGUGUGUUUUGGACAGCGUGGUUGUGUGUUUUGGACUGUGUGGUUGUGUGUUUUGGACUGUGUGGUUGUGUGUUUUGGACUGUGUGGUUGUGUGUUUUGGACUGUGUGGUUGUGUGUUUUGGACUGUGUGGUUGUGUGUUUUGGACUGUGUGGUUGUGUGUAGUGAGUUUAGUAGAGUGUUUUUGGCCCGUGGGUAGUUUAGUGGUGUGUUUUUGGCCCGUGGGUAGUUUAGUAGAGUGUUUUUGGCCCGUGGGUAGUUUAGUGGUGUGUUUUUGGCCCGUGGGUAGUUUAGUGGUGUGUUUUUGGCCCGUGGGUAGUUUAGUGGUGUGUUUUUGGCCCGUGGGUAGUUUAGUGGUGUGUUUUUGGCCCGUGGGUAGUUUAGUGGUGUGUUUUUGGCCCGUGGGUAGUUUAGUGGUGUGUUUUUGGCCCGUGGGUAGUUUAGUAGAGUGUUUUUGGCCCGUGGGUAGUUUAGUGGUGUGUUUUUGGCCCGUGGGUAGUUUAGUGGUGUGUUUUUGGCCCGUGGGUAGUUUAGUGGUGUGUUUUUGGCCUGCGUAGUGCAUUGGGCCUUUGAGAGGAAAGAGUGAGCGGGAUCUUGCUCCCCUGUGUGAGGACCAGUUCUGGCAGACAUUUCACUGGUUCAGCAGACAGUCCUCAGCACCAGGAUCA
rnacentral:lncRNA from 1 species